rnacentral:lncRNA from 1 species
GUACUAUUGCGGCCGCCCUCUGCUGCGCCUGAAGAGAGAGGCGACUCUACAAGCCUCACAGCAUGCACUGUUACUAAAAAGACGAUGCGUCCUCCUGGACCUGAGAUCUGUGUGAUCGUGGGAAAGCGACGAAAAACGAACAAAGGAACAGUAAAUGGAGUAACUUGGCUAGAAUAUGGCAGUAACUACAAGGCAUGUUCUGCUCUGGCACGAAGACAACCCACCUGAGGCACCAGACACAUGAGUGAAGCCAUCUUGGACAUCCCAGUCACAGCCAAACUCACUCCUGAGUGCAUCUGCAUGAUGAACCCAGCAAUCCCCACCAUGGAGCAAAGGAUCCAUCCAGUCAACCCAAAGAAUCGUGAAAAAUAAUAAAUUGUUGUUUUAAAGUUCUUCAGUUUGGGAAUAGCUUGUUAUGCAACAAUACAUAAUUAAUACACUGGUCUCCCACUUUCAAGUUUGAUUAACUUUCAGCUAUUUUUCACAUAGCAGGCAGAGUGAUUCCAUUAAAACAUAUAUCAGAUAAUGUCACUGCACUAAGUAAACUCUACAAGGACUCUCAUCUCCCUCAGAGUAAAGGUCACAGUUGUUACAAGGCCCUACGUAAUGUGGCCCUCACCACCACUCCAUUACCUUUUUCUUAUCUACUAUUUGCUAACUUUGCUUUGUCCUCUUUUCUGUUCUGAAACAGGCUAGGCAUGGUCCUGCCUCAAGGCCUUUGCACCACCUACUCUGUCUGCUUGGAUUGUUCUUCCCACAGAUUUCUUGCUCCCUUCUUCCUUCAUGAAGAAAUGUCAUGAAAUGUCCUUCCUUCAUGAAAUGUCACCUUCUCAUUUGAGGCCUUCUGUAGUACCCCAAAGAAUGGUCCCCAAAGAUGUCCACAUCCUUAUGCCCAGAACCUGUGAAUGUGUUAUCUUAAUGGCAAAAGUGACUUUGCAAAUGUGAUUAUAUUUAAGGAUCUUAAGGAGGAGAUUAUCCUGGAUUAUCCAGGAGGGCCCAAUGUAAUCACAAGGGCCCUUAUAAGUGAAAGGGGGAGGCAACAGAGAGAAGGAGAUGUCAUAAUGAAAACAGAUCCAAGUGAUGAGAUUGCUGGCUGGGGUGGAGGUGGAGGGGGGUACAAUCCAAGGAAUGCAAGAAGCCUCUAAAAGCUAGGAAAUGUCAGGACACAAAUUCUCCCCUAGAACCUGAGGAAGAAACCCAGGUUUAUGGACACUGAUUUUAACCCAAUAAGUCCCUUUUCUGACUGCUGACCUCCAAAACUGUAAGAUAAUAAAUUUGUGUUAUUUUAAGCCAACUGAGUUUGAGAUAAUUUAGUUAUGGCAGCAAUAGGAAACUAGCACACCUUCCUAGCCAUCCUAUCUAAAAUGGCAACCCAUGUCCUUCCUGGCACUUCCUAUCUCCCUUCCAUGUUUUUUUUAAAUCAUAUAUACAAUAUAUUUUACUGUUUUACCUAUUGUCUUUUCCACCAGAAAGUAAACUCCACGUAAAUAAGGAUUGUCUGUUUUAUUCUUUGCAGUAUCUCCACUGCCUAGGAUAGCAUCUGCACAUACUGCACACUCAGUACACAUUUGUCGAAUGAGUCACUGCCCCCGGCUGCAAAUAUAUC